CCCGCCCUCAAGUUAUAUAGCCCUUCCCCCACUUAGGGAGUGGUGCUGUCACUUCGGGUAAACAACUUUUUCUGGCCAUUGUUAGUUUGAAUUUGCUGAUUUCCUAUUUAACUAGAUGUAAACAUCAAACCUACUGUGAGGUUACUAAGGUGGGGUAUUUGGUUUUUCUGAGCUGGAACUUUAGUUUUUCAAUAUGGAUAGUGUCUUGUUUUAUGCUUUGUUGGCAUCUAUUGCAACUACUACAAAUGCUGAAUUGGGGAACAUCAUCAAGAAACGAAGCACCAGUGAUGUGAUCAUCAAUGGCAUAGAAAUCUACAGCAUGAAAAUUGAUAGCAAAGUGACAUCUCGAUUUGCCCACAAUGUCAUCACCAGUUGAGCUGUCAAUCAUGCCAGUGUGUCUAAGGAAGUUGUUUUUGAUGUGGAGCUCCCCAAGACGGCCUUCAUUACGAAUUUCAGCAUGUAGGUAGUUUGCUGAUAGCUUGUCUCGAUGGGGUUGCCAACCCUCCCGGUUUCGCUGGGAGUCUCCUGGAAUCAUGCCCCCUCUCCCAGAG
rnacentral:lncRNA from 1 species